GGCGGCAGGCCUAACACAUGCAAGUCGAGCGAGACCUUCGGGUCUAGCGGCGGACGGGUUAGUAACGCGUGGGAACGUACCCUUUUCUAAGGAAUAGCCACUGGAAACGGUGAGUAAUGCCUUAUACGCCCUUCGGGGGAAAGAUUUAUCGGAGAAGGAUCGGCCCGCGUUAGAUUAGAUAGUUGGUGGGGUAAUGGCCUACCAAGUCUACGAUCUAUAGCUGGUUUGAGAGGAUGAUCAGCAACACUGGGACUGAGACACGGCCCAGACUCCUACGGGAGGCAGCAGUGGGGAAUCUUAGACAAUGGGCGCAAGCCUGAUCUAGCCAUGCCGCGUGAGUGAUGAAGGCCUUAGGGUCGUAAGGCUCUUUCGCCUGUGAAGAUAAUGACUGUAGCAGGUAAAGAAACCCCGGCUAACUCCGUGCCAGCAGCCGCGGUAAUACGGAGGGGGUUAGCGUUGUUCGGAAUUACUGGGCGUAAAGCGCGCGUAGGCGGACAUUUAAGUCAGAGGUGAAAUCCCAGGGCUCAACCCUGGAACUGCCUUUGAUACUGGGUGUCUUGAGUUCGAGAGAGGUGAGUGGAAUUCCGAGUGUAGAGGUGAAAUUCGUAGAUAUUCGGAGGAACACCAGUGGCCGAAGGCGGCUCACUGGCUCGAUACUGACGCUGAGGUGCGAAAGUGUGGGGAGCAAACAGGAUUAGAUACCCUGGUAGUCCACACCGUAAACCAUGAAUGCCAGUCGUCGGGCAGUAUACUGUUCGGUGACACACCUAACGGAUUAAGCA
rnacentral:rRNA from 1 species